GUAAAUAACUGACUAGGUGAGCUGUCGCGCGCGGAUGCAGGCCAGAUGCGCGUAGUACGUGGGCGUGGGGUAGGACACGGAGCGGCUGCAGCGGCUGUACAGGUGGCACAGGUAGUAGGUCAGCUGUUCGAUCUCGUCGUGGGGCACGCCGCCGUCGUUGCAGACUGCGUGGUAGCGGGUCGGCCGCGCGGUGCCUUUGAUCGCGUGGUGCGACACC